CGAAAGUUGCGCUAAUACCGCAUAUUCUGUGAGCAGGAAAGCGAGGGGGACCGCAAGGCCUUGCGCUCUUUGAGCGGCCGAUGUCAGAUUAGCUAGUUGGUGAGGUAAGGCUUACCAAGGCGACGAUCUGUAGCGGGUCUGAGAGGAUGAUCCGCCACACUGGAACUGAGACACGGUCCAGACUCCUACGGGAGGCAGCAGGUGGGGUAAUUUUUGGACAAUGGGGCAACCCUGAUCCAGCCAUGCCGCGUGAGUGAAGAAGGCCUUCGGGUUGUAAAGCUCUUUCGGCCGGGAAGAAAUCGCAUGGGUGAAUACCCUGUGUGGAUGACGGUACCGGAAUAAGAAGCACCGGCUAACUACGUG
rnacentral:rRNA from 1 species